UUGAACGCUGGCGGCAGGCCUAACACAUGCAAGUCGAGCGGAUGAAGGGAGCUUGCUCCUGGAUUCAGCGGCGGACAGGUGAGUAAUGCCUAGGAAUCUGCCUGGUAGUGGGGGAUAACGUCCGGAAACGGGCGCUAAUACCGCAUACGUCCUGAGGGAGAAAGUGGGGGAUCUUCGGACCUCACGCUAUCAGAUGAGCCUAGGUCGGAUUAGCUAGUUGGUGGGGUAAAGGCCUACCAAGGCGACGAUCCGUAACUGGUCUGAGAGGAUGAUCAGUCACACUGGAACUGAGACACGGUCCAGACUCCUACGGGAGGCAGCAGUGGGGAAUAUUGGACAAAGGGCGAAAGCCUGAUCCAGCCAUGCCGCGUGUGUGAAGAAGGUCUUCGGAUUGUAAAGCACUUUAAGUUGGGAGGAAGGGCAGUAAGUUAAUACCUUGCUGUUUUGACGUUACCAACAGAAUAAGCACCGGCUAACUUCGUG
rnacentral:rRNA from 1 species